UACAGAGGUCUCAAGCGUUGUUCGGAUUCAUUGGGCGUAAAGGGUGCGUAGGUGGCGGGGUAAGUCUGGUGUGAAAUCCCGGGGCUCAACCCGGAACUGCACUGGAUACUGCUUUGCUAGAGUACUGGAGAGGAACUGGAAUUACGGUGUAGCAGUGAAAUGCGUAGAUAUCGUAAGGAAGACCAGUGGCGAAGGCGAGUUCCUGGACAGUUACUGACACUG
rnacentral:rRNA from 1 species